UUGCUCGCUUCGGCAGCACAGAUACUAAAAUUGGACCAGUACAGAGAAGAUCAGCAUGGCCCCUGCCUGAGGAUGACAUGCAGUUCCGUGAAUAUUCACAGAUCAAU
ensembl:snRNA U6 U6 spliceosomal RNA